CCUACGGGUGGCAGCAGUGGGGAAUAUUCGGCAAUGGGCGCAAGCCUGACCCAGCAACGCCGCGUGCACGAAGAAGGCUUUCGGGUUGUAAACUUCUUUGACAGGGGAAGAGCAGAAGACGGUACCCUGAAAACAAGCCACGGCUAACUACGUGCCAGCACCCGCGGUAAUACGUAGGUGGCAAGCGUUGUCCGGAUUUAGUGGGUGUAAAGGGCGUGUAGCCGGGACGGCAAGUCAGAUGUGAAAUCUGGGGGCGUAAACUCCAAAUUGCAUGUGAAACUGUUAUUCUUGAGUACUGGAGAGGCAGACGGAAUUCCUUGUGUAGCGGUGAAAUGCGUAGAUAUAAGGAGGAACACCAGUGGCGAAGGCGGUCUGCUGGACAGCAACUGACGGUGAGGCGCGAAAGCGUGGGGAGCAAACAGGAUUAGAUACCCCUGUAGUC
rnacentral:rRNA from 1 species